GGUGAACGUUGGCGGCGCGUCUAAUACAUGCAAGUCGAGCGAGGCUUCGAGCCGAGCGGCGGACGGCUGAGUAACACGUUGGUAGCUACCCCGUACUCAGGGAUAACACUGAGAAAUCAGUGCUAAUACCGGUAUGAUCCCGAAAGGGUAAAGAUUUAUCGGUACGGGAGGUGCCGUGCGGCCUAUCAGCUAGUUGGUGAGGUAAUGGCUCACCAAGGCUAUGACGGGUAACUGGGUCUGAGAGGACGACCAGUCAGAGGGAAACUGAGACACGGUUCCCACUCCUACGGGAGGCAGCAGUAAAGAAUCUUCCGCAAUGGACGCAAGUCUGACGGAGCGAACGCCGCGUGCAGGAUGAAGGCCUUCGGGUCGUAAACU
rnacentral:rRNA from 1 species